GAUGAACGCUGGCGGCGUGCCUAAUCCAUGCAAGUCGAGCGAACAGAUGAGGAGCUUGCUCCUCUGACGUUAGCGGCGGACGGGUGAGUAACACGUGGAUAACCUACCUAUAAGACUGGGAUAACUUCGGGAAACCGGAGCUAAUACCGGAUAAUAUAUUGAACCGCAUGGUUCAAUAGUGAAAGACGGUUUUGCUGUCACUUAUAGAUGGAUCCGCGCCGCAUUAGCUAGUUGGUAAGGUAACGGCUUACCAAGGCAACGAUGCGUAGCCGACCUGAGAGGGUGAUCGGCCACACUGGAACUGAGACACGGUCCAGACUCCUACGGGAGGCAGCAGUAGGGAAUCUUCCGCAAUGGGCGAAAGCCUGACGGAGCAACGCCGCGUGAGUGAUGAAGGUCUUCGGAUCGUAAAACUCUGUUAUUAGGGAAGAACAAAUGUGUAAGUAACUAUGCACGUCUUGACGGUACCUAAUCAGAAAGCCACGGCUAACUACGUG
rnacentral:rRNA from 1 species